CGAUUCGGAUGGGCGCAGCCUGACCGAGCAACNCCGCGUGCGGNAUGACGGCCUUCGGGUUUCCACCGCUUUNCNGGGGGACGAUGAUGACGGUACCCUCGGAAUAAGCCCCGGCUAANUCNNUGCCAGCAGCCGCGGUAAGACAGAGGGGGCCAGCGUUGUCCGGAGUUACUGGGCGUAAAGCGCACGCAGGCGGCGGCUUAAGUGUCGUGUGAAAGCUCCCGGCUCAACCGGGAGAGGCCAUGGCAGACUGGGUCGCUGGAGCGCCGGAGAGGUCUCUCGAAUUGCCGGUGUAGUGGUGAAAUGCGUAGAGAUCGGCAGGAAGACCAAGGGGGAAGCCAGGAGACUGGCCGGCAGCUGACGCUGAGGUGCGACGGCGUGGGGAGCAAACCGGAUUAGAUACCCGGGUAGUCCACGCGGUAAACGAUGACCACUCGGCAUAUGGGGGCUUUAUACGUCCCUGGGUGCCCCAGCUAACGCGGUAAGUGGUCCGCCUGGGAACUACGAGCGCAAGCUUAAAACUCAAAAAAAUUGACGGA
rnacentral:rRNA from 1 species